AAGUCGUAACAAGGUUUCCGUAGGUGAACCUGCGGAAGGAUCAUUAACACUCUUUUUCAAUGAAAGAGCUCAUUUUUUGAUUCUUUGUUUUUUCUUUUGAGAAACUUGGAUUCAAAUUAUGGGUAUUCACCCCCUUAUAUUGACGAACGAAGAAAAAAAUGAUUUUGUUUCAAAAGCAAAACUCAUAUUUUUCUAUCUUUUUUCUCUAUACCUUAUAUUUUUCAAAACCCCUUUUUUACAAUAUGUCUUAGACUGAAAUGAAAAAUUAAGAUAAAUUAAAAAACAACUCUUAACAACGGAUAUCUUGGUUCUC
rnacentral:misc_RNA from 1 species